GUGCACUUCUUUUGAGCCUCCUGAUACUGUGUGUGUAUUGUACAAUUGCAUAUGAAACAUUUGGAAAAGAUAAAGUAGAGAGAGCGCAUCACUCUAGAUGCAAAGCUUUUGGGAAAUAGACCUGAGCCUGAAUUUGUUUGUGAAAGAAGUUAAAUGGAAUGAACAAAAUAUUGAAAGAAGGCAAACAAAGCGGAAAUCUUUGGGCCAUGCCAGUCAUAGGUGGCGUUUUUCUGUUAGCUUCAAUAGUGCUUGCUGCAACCAGUUCUGGAUCUCAUUUAGAAAAAG